rnacentral:lncRNA from 1 species
UUGAUUUGGAAGACUUAGUGAACAUUGCCAUUAAGGUGGAAAGACAAAGAGGUCGAAAUAGAUGGGGGAGUAACAGGGCUGCUCAAAACUCCAACAGCAAAUGGGGUUCCAAAUGGAACACCAAGACUGAUCCUAAAAGGUUUGAUAAGUCUUCAACUCAAAAAGGCAUGUUACCUUCCAAAGAAACAUCCAACUCUCAUGGUAAAAAUGAAUCAGCCCCUAAAUCUAAUAGGACUAGAG